GAUGAACGCUUGCUACAGGCUUAACACAUGCAAGUCGAGGGGAAACGACAUCGAAAGCUUGCUUUUGAUGGGCGUCGACCGGCGCACGGGUGAGUAACGCGUAUCCAACCUGCCCACCACUUGGGGAUAACCUUGCGAAAGUAAGACUAAUACCCAAUGAUAUCUCUAGAAGACAUCUGAAAGAGAUUAAAGAUUUAUCGGUGAUGGAUGGGGAUGCGUCUGAUUAGCUUGUUGGCGGGGUAACGGCCCACCAAGGCAACGAUCAGUAGGGGUUCUGAGAGGAAGGUCCCCCACAUUGGAACUGAGACACGGUCCAAACUCCUACGGGAGGAAGCAGUGAGGAAUAUUGGUCAAUGGACGAGAGUCUGAACCAGCCAAGUAGCGUGCAGGAAGACGGCCCUAUGGGUUGUAAACUGCUUUUAUAAGGGAAUAAAGUGAGUCUCGUGAGACUUUUUGCAUGUACCUUAUGAAUAAGGACCGGCUAAUUCCGUG
rnacentral:rRNA from 1 species